GGCGAGUGAGCGGCAACAGCUCAAAUUUGAAAGCUAGCCUUCGGGUUCGCAUUGUAAUUUGUAGAGGAUGAUUUGGGGAAGCCGCCUGUCUAAGUUCCUUGGAACAGGACGUCAUAGAGGGUGAGAAUCCCGUAUGUGACAGGAAAUGGCACCCUAUGUAAAUCUCCUUCGACGAGUCGAGUUGUUUGGGAAUGCAGCUCUAAAUGGGAGGUAAAUUUCUUCUAAAGCUAAAUAUUGGCGAGAGACCGAUAGCGCACAAGUAGAGUGAUCGAAAGAUGAAAAGCACUUUGGAAAGAGAGUUAAAAAGCACGUGAAAUUGUUGAAAGGGAAGCGCUUGCAAUCAGACUUGUUUAAACUGUUCGGCCGGUCUUCUGACCGGUUUACUCAGUUUGGACAGGCCAGCAUCAGUUUCGGCGGCCGGAUAAAGGCUCUGGGAAUGUGGCCUCCACUUCGGUGGAGGUGUUAUAGCCCAGGGUGUAAUACGGCCAGCCGGGACUGAGGUCCGCGCUUCGGCUAGGAUGCUGGCGUAAUGGUUGUAAGCGACCCGUCUUGAAACACCG
rnacentral:rRNA from 1 species